GGGGGUGCACCGGUUUCGACGAUUGUGGGAUAGGCACUUACUGCAUGUAGGUUUGAAAGUACCUUAAACUGACAAAAAAAUAACUGCAAUUUUCGCAAGAAAAGAAGAAGAAGUUGAAGAAACUUCUUUCGCAGAAGCUCUCGCUGCUUAAUUAGCAGAGCCGGAACUCAUAGGGUGCUGUUCCUAACUUUAUGAUGUUCUGUCACCAAUAGGAACUUGCUUUUUGCUAUGUCUGGGGAGCAUAAAGGACAUUUACUCAGAAUACGGAAGAGACGCUUGUUAUGCUGCUACCUUUUCCCGACAACUACCUCGCAUAACUAAACAUGUAGAUGUAUUUGACUUACACUUUCGGACGGGGGUUCAAUUCCCCCCAUCUCCAAAA
rnacentral:tmRNA from 1 species